rnacentral:rRNA from 1 species
GUCCACGCUGUAAACGAUGAGUACUGGGUGUCGCGGGUAGUUGACCCCUGCGGUGCCGUAGCUAACGCGUUAAGUACUCCGCCUGGGGAUUACGGUCGCAAGAUUAAAACUCAAAGGAAUUGACGGGGGCCCGCACAAGCGGUGGAGCAUGUGGUUUAAUUCGACGCAACGCGAAGAACCUUACCUGGGCUAGACAACGGUGGACCGCGCCAGAGAUGGCGCUUUCCCUUCGGGGACUGCCGGUUCAGGUGCUGCAUGGCUGUCGU